rnacentral:ncRNA from 2 species
GACCCAGACCGUGGUGAUUUGGCCGGCCGGCUUGCAGCCACGUAAAACAACUCGCUAAAGGGCCGCUGCGUUCACAAU